rnacentral:rRNA from 1 species
AUUGAACGCUGGCGGCAUGCCUUACACAUGCAAGUCGAACGGUAACAGGUCUCCGGAUGCUGACGAGUGGCGAACGGGUGAGUAAUACAUCGGAACGUGCCCGAUCGUGGGGGAUAACGAAGCGAAAGCUUUGCUAAUACCGCAUAAGAUCCAAGGAUGAAAGCAGGGGACCGCAAGGCCUUGCGCGAACGGAGCGGCCGAUGGCAGAUUAGGUAGUUGGUGGGAUAAAAGCUUACCAAGCCGACGAUCUGUAGCUGGUCUGAGAGGACGACCGGCCACACGGGGACGGAGAGACGGCCCAGACGCCUACGGGAGGCAGCAGUGGGGAAUUUUGGACAAUGGGCGAAAGCCUGAUCCAGCCAUGCCGCGUGCAGGAUGAAGGCCUUCGGGUUGUAAACUGCUUUUGUACGGAACGAAAAGACUCUGGUUAAUACCUGGGGUCCAUGACGGUACCGUAAGAAUAAGCACCGGCUAACUACGUGCCAGCAGCCGCCGUAACAC